AUCAAUUCAUUUCUGAAUAGAAAGAGUCAUAACCGACCUUGUUUGCAGUUGGAGGUGUCCUGGCAGCAGUUUUACACAUGUCUCUUUUACAAUGGUGGUUAAUGAUUAAAAUCCUUUCUGGGUCGCAGAGGGAUUUUUUUUCAGUGCAAUACUGCCAGUGGCCACUGGACAAAAUCAGCUGUAUGUCCGAGCCUGAUUCGGAUGCCUCUGUUCCUCAAUAUAGUGAAAGAGUAACUGUGCAUUUAUGUAUAACACAUAAAAAAGUGUGUUGUUAGCAGAUAGAACCAGCACUAUUUUGGACACAUCUACCAUUGCACGAAAUCUCGCCUCAUUCUCUAAAGGAAAAAACAGCGCACACUCUGACGUUACAAGACAAAAACUCUGUUUUUCCUGUCUACACGUCAACACUGAAAACAGAGUUUCUGAACAUCUUCACUCUGAAAGGAGUUUUACAAAAGAUCCGUUUUCAGUUAACUGAAACACAGUUUGUGCAGACAAAAGAU